GUACUUCUGGUGAAUUCCCAGGAACAACCAUUACAUCUGGAGAUUCCCACACAGGUAGUUCAAUAAGAAGGAAAUCCUCAUGUUGAAUGUACGGUAACUUAUUAGAGCUGCAGUCAUAAAAUAGCUUUUUCCUUGUAUCUUCAAUUCCUUACACCCCUUGAUUCUCUUUUUCCCACAGAGGCCACAGCUCUAACAGGAAGCAGGGGCAGUAUUGGAACUGAAUCCACAGUAGAGACCACAACAUACAUUGGAGAAAGUGGGACCACAAGAGGUGGAUUAGCCACAGCUACCACUGGGGCAUUCUCUGGAAAGACUCUGGAACCUGGGAAUGACAACACAGCAAGUCCACAAGCACACAGGGAAUGCUACACCAUGGCUGCUCAAGUGAUAGGCUCCUAGGGUUAUAUAACCUUGUAUUUCCCAUACUGAAGACUUCAUGCUUGCUUUCUUUUCUCUCAGAGGCCACAGGUUCCACAGGAGGGAUCAGGGCCACCAGAACAGAAGCUCCAGGAGGUACCUCUGGUGAAUUCCCAGGGACAACAUUUACAUCUGGAGGUUCCCACACAGGUAGUUGA
rnacentral:lncRNA from 1 species